GCCUCCUUAGCUCAGAUGGUAGAGCGUAUCACUCGUAAUGAUAAGGUCGCCGGAUCGAUCCCGGCAGGGGGCU
rnacentral:tRNA from 1 species